GACGAACGCUGGCGGCGUGCUUAACACAUGCAAGUCGAACGGAAAGGCCCUGCUUUUGUGGGGUGCUCGAGUGGCGAACGGGUGAGUAACACGUGAGUAACCUGCCCUUGACUUUGGGAUAACUUCAGGAAACUGGGGCUCAUACCGGCUAGGAGCUCCUGCUGCAUGUUGGGGGUUGGAAAGUUUCGGCGGUUGGGGAUGGACUCGCGGGUUAUCAGCUUGUUGGUGGGGUAGUGGCUUACCAAGGCUUUGACGGGUAGCCGGCCUGAGAGGGUGACCGGCCACAUUGGGACUGAGGUACGGCCCAGACUCCUACGGGAGGCAGCAGUGGGGAAUAUUGCACAAUGGGCGGAAGCCUGAUGCAGCAACGCCGCGUGCGGGAUGACGGCCUGCGGGUUGUAAACCGCUUUCGCCUGUGACGAAGCGGGAGUGACGGUAAUGGGUAAAGAAGCACCGGCUAACUACGUG
rnacentral:rRNA from 1 species